rnacentral:rRNA from 1 species
GAUGAACGCUGGCGGCGUGCCUAAUACAUGCAAGUCGAGCGAACAGACGAGGAGCUUGCUCCUCUUACGUUAGCGGCGGACGGGUGAGUAACACGUGGAGAACCUACCUAUAAGACUGGGAUAACUUCGGGAAACCGGUGCUAAUACCGGAUAAUAUAUUUAACCACAUGGUUCAAUAGUGAAAGACGGUUUUGCUGUCACUUAUAGAUGGAUCCGCGCCGCAUUAGCUAGUUGGUAAGGUAACGGCUUACCAAGGCAACGAUGCGUAGCCGACCUGAGAGGGUGAUCGGCCACACUGGAACUGAGCAACGGUCCAGACUCCUACGGGAGGCAGCAGUAGGGAAUCUUCCGCAAUGGGCGAAAGCCUGCCGGAGCAACGCCGCGUGAGUGAUGAAGGUCUUCGGAUCGUAAACCUCUGUUAUUAGGGAAGAACAAAUGUGUAAGUAACUAUGCACGUCUUGACGGUACCUAAUCAGAAAGCCACGGCUAACUACGUG